rnacentral:lncRNA from 1 species
GGUGAGACGAUGGUAUCUGUGAAUGCUCCACAGUAUUUGGAGUGCUCCAGCCUGGGAGCCCAGAUCAACCUCUGAUUAUACUAGAUCUCCUGCCUCUAUAGAAAAUUCCUUGGUGUUCCAUGAUCCAGUGGCCCUGUCUUCUUCAGGUCAGAGGAAGACAGGGUGAGACCUGUGUGCUGUCCCUGGGGGCAUCUGACAUCACGCCCUUCCCCUGCCCUCAGGGAGCUCACCGCCUAGACCAGCAGCUCCCCAUCACCCCCAGGGCAGCACCUCAAAGAGGCCCCUGGCCCGGAGGAGGGGGUGCAUGUCCUUGGAGAAGGUUGGCCUGGACUCAGGUGGUCUCUCCCCCAUGGGAAGCAAGUGUAGUUAAGGCCGGGAUCUGAAGCCUUCACACAUUUGUCGAGCUCCCCAGGGAAGAGACAGCAAAGGCCCAGUGUGUAGC